GACGGGGGAUGCAAGUGUUAUCCGGAAUCACUGGGCGUAAAGCGUCUGCAGGCGGUUUCCUAAGUCCACUGUUAAACCUUGAGGCUCAACCUCAAAUCUGCAUUGGAAACUAGGAGACUUGAGUAUAGUAGGGGUAGAGGGAAUUGCCAGUGGAGCGGUGAAAUGCGUAGAUAUUGGAAAGAACACCGAUGGCGAAGGCACUCUACUGGGCUAUUACUGACACUCAGAGACGAAAGCUAGGGGAGCAAAUGAG
rnacentral:rRNA from 1 species